rfam:Aedes aegypti strain Liverpool supercont1.1144 genomic scaffold, whole genome shotgun sequence.
CCAUCGGCCCUUUUCAGGGUCAUCAAAUUAGUAGAAAAGAGUUAAA